GAUGAACGCUGGCGGCGUGCCUAACACAUGCAAGUCGAGCGAGAACCCAUAAAUUGACACUUCGGUUGAUUUUUAUGGUGGAAAGCGGCGGACGGGUGAGUAACGCGUAGGCAACCUGCCCUUUACAGGGGGAUAGCUUCGGGAAACCGGAAUUAAAACCCCAUGAUACCGUAGUACUGCCUAGUACCUCGGUCAAAGAUUUAUCGGUAAGGGAUGGGCCUGCGUCUGAUUAGUUAGUUGGUGAGGUAACGGCUCACCAAGGCAUCGAUCAGUAACCGACCUGAGAGGGUAAUCGGUCACAUUGGAACUGAGACACGGUCCAGACUCCUACGGGAGGCAGCAGUGGGGAAUAUUGCACAAUGGGGGAAACCCUGAUGCAGCAACGCCGCGUGAGCGAUGAAGGUUCUAUGAAUCGUAAAGCUCUGUCCUAAGGGAAGAAAAAAAUGACGGUACCUUAGGAGGAAGCCCCGGCUAACUACGUGCCAGCCGCCGCAGUAAAAC
rnacentral:rRNA from 1 species